rnacentral:rRNA from 1 species
UAGGGAAUAUUGCAAAAUGGGCGAAAGCCCGAUGCAGCAACGCCGCGUGGGCGAUGAAGGCCUUCGGGUCGUAAAGCCCUUUUUGAGGGGAUGAGGAAGGACAGUACCCUCAGAAUAAGCCUCGGCUAACUACGUGCCAGCAGCCGCGGUAAAACGUAGGAGGCGAGCGUUAUCCGGAUUUACUGGGCGUAAAGCGCGUGCAGGCGGAUUGGAGAGUUGGAUGUGAAAGCUCCCGGCUUAACUGGGAGAGGUCGUUCAAUACUUCCAGUCUUGAGUGCAGUAGAGNGAAGUGGAAUUCCGGGUGUAGUGGUGAAAUGCGUAGAUAUCCGGAGGAACACCAGUGGCGAAAGCGGCUUCCUGGACUGUAACUGACACUCAGACGCGAAAGCUAGGGUAGCAAACG